rnacentral:lncRNA from 1 species
CACCUGCCUUGUAGAGGGUUUCUUGUUGGCCCAGUGAAGCUGAUUUUAGCGAGCAAACCCCUCCAGAAGGUUGCUUAAGCAAAGCUUUCUUUGCCUCUUCUUUCGACUUUCCCACCGCCGCUGCUGCUGCUUUGCCAAUAGGUCUUAUUUAAGGCGUCAUACUGAAAUUAAUGUAGUCAUUGAACCAUUGCCAUCCCAGCUGACUGCCGGCUAGUCUUGCACGAGUGACCAGUACCGGACAUAGCGCAAAUACCGAAUAUAAAAAUGUAAUCAGAUCG